rnacentral:rRNA from 1 species
AGGAUGAACGCUGGCGGUCUGCUUAACACAUGCAAGUCGAACGGGCGUAGCAAUACGUUAGUGGCGGACGGGUGAGUAACGCGUGAGAAUCUACCUUCAGGACGGAGACAACAGUUGGAAACGACUGCUAACCCCCGAUGUACUGAAAAGGCAAAUAUUUAUAGCCUGAAGAAGAGCUCGCGUCCGAUUAGCUAGUUGGAGAGGUAAAAGCUCACCAAGGCGACGAUCGGUAGCUGGUCUGAGAGGACGAUCAGCCACACUGGAACUGAGACACGGUCCAGACACCUACGGGUGGCAGCAGUCGAGAAUUUUUCACAAUGGGCGCAAGCCUGAUGGAGCGACGCCGCGUGGGGGAUGAAUGGCUUCGGCCCGUAAACCCCUGUCAUUUGCGAUCAACCGUUGUUGUUUAAGAGAUGACAACCUGAUAGUAGCGAAAGAGGAAGGGACGGCUAACUCUGUGCCAGCAGCCGC